rnacentral:rRNA from 1 species
AGCAGCCGCGGUAAUUCCAGCUCCAAUAGCGUAUAUUAAAGUUGUUGCAGUUAAAAAGCUCGUAGUUGAAUUUCGGGGUCAGUAGUUCGGUCGUGCCUCAGGUAUGCACUGGACUCACUGAUUCCUCCUUCCUGAUGAACCGUAAUGCCAUUAAUUUGGUGUUGCGGGGAAUCUGGACUGUUACUUUGAAAAAAUUAGAGUGUUUAAAGCAGGCUAACGCUUGAAUACAUUAGCAUGGAAUAAUGAAAUAGGACGUUCGAUCCUAUUUUGUUGGUUUCUAGGAUUGACGUAAUGAUUAAUAGGGAUAGUUGGGGGCAUUAGUAUUCAAUUGUCAGAGGUGAAAUUCUUGGAUUUAUUGAAGACUAACUACUGCGAAAGCAUUUGCCAAGGAUGUUUUCAUUAAUCAAGAACGAAAGUUAGGGGAUCGAAGACGAUCAGAUACCGUCGUAGUCUUAACCAUAAACUAUGCCGACUAGGGAUCGGAUGAUGUUAAUUUUUUAAUGACUCAUUC